rnacentral:rRNA from 1 species
AGUCAAUAGAUACCCGGGUAGUCCAUGCCGUAAACGAUGAUUGCCAGGUGUGGGGGGUCUGACCCCUUCCGUGCCGGAGUUAAACACAAAUAAGCAAUCCACCUGGGGAGUACGGCCGCAAGGUUGAAACUCAAAGGAAUUGACGGGGGCCCGCACAAGCAGUGGAGUAUGUGGUUUAAUUCGAAGCAACGCGAAGAACCUUACCAGGUCUUGACAUCCACCGAAUCCUGUAGAGAUACGGGAGUGCCCUUCGGGGAACGGUGAGACAGGUGGUGCAUGGUUGUCGUCAGCUCGUGUCGUGAGAUGUUGGGUUAAGUCCCGCAACGAGCGCAACCCUUGUGAAUAGUUGCUACGAAAGAGCACUCUAUUCAGACCGCCGUUGACAAAACGGAGGAAGGUGGGGAUGACGUCAAAUCAUCAUGCCCCUUAUGACCUGGGCUACACACGUACUACAAUGGUCGUCAACAGAGGGAAGCAAGACCGCGAGG